GACGAACGCUGGCGGCGUGCCUAAUACAUGCAAGUCGAACGCAGUGGGGACGGGUGCUUAACACGUGGGUAACCUCCCAUCAGAGGAGAGAACACGUGGAAACAGGUGCUAAACCGCUACUGAUGGAUGGACCCGGGGUGCAUUAGCUAGUUGGGGGGGUAACGGCUCAACAAGGCCACGAUGCAUAGCCGACCGGAGAGGGUGAUCGGCCACACUGGGACUGAGACACGGCCCAGACUCCUACGGGAGGCAGCAGUGGGGAAUCUUCGGCAAUGGACGAAAGUCUGACGGAGCAACGCCGCGUUAGUGAAGAAGGUUUUCGGAUCGUAAAACUCUGUUGUUAGAGAAGCGGUAUCUAAACAGAAAGCCACGGCUAACUACGUGCCAGCAGCCGCGGUAAUUC
rnacentral:rRNA from 1 species